UACGAAGGGGGCUAGCGUUGUUCGGAAUUACUGGGCGUAAAGCGCACGUAGGCGGAUCGAUCAGUCAGGGGUGAAAUCCCAGAGCUCAACUCUGGAACUGCCUUUGAUACUGUCGAUCUGGAGUAUGGAAGAGGUGAGUGGAAUUCCGAGUGUAGAGGUGAAAUUCGUAGAUAUUCGGAGGAACACCAGUGGCGAAGGCGGCUCACUGGUCCGUUACUGACGCUGAGGUGCGAAAGCGUGGGGAGCAAACAGG
rnacentral:rRNA from 1 species